AUACAUAGCUGACAGCCCCGAAACCGUGGUCCAGAAGGUGGUUUCCAAGGGCACGGUUCCCCAUUACACUUGGGAUUUGCCAAUUCACCCAUGAUUCUCCCCAGUGUGGGAAUUUGACUGUGUGAUUUGUGGUACUUGGGGACUGCGUUUAUGCUUUCCCCUG